UACGGAGGGGGCUAGCGUUGUUCGGAAUCACUGGGCGUAAAGCGCGCGUAGGCGGUUAUGUAAGUCAGGGGUGAAAUCCUGAGGCUCAACCUCAGAAUUGCCUUUGAAACUGUAUGACUGGAGUGUCGGAGGGGAUAGCGGAAUUGCUAAUGUAGCGGUGAAAUGCGUAGAUAUUAGCAGGAACACCGGUGGCGAAGGCGGCUAUCUGGACGACAACUGACGCUGAGGCGCGAAAGCGCGGGGAUCAAACAGG
rnacentral:rRNA from 1 species